UACGAAGGGGGCUAGCGUUGUUCGGAAUUACUGGGCGUAAAGCGCGCGCAGGCGGUUCUUCAAGUCAGUGGUGAAAGCCCGGAGCUCAACUCCGGAAUUGCCAUUGAAACUGUAGAACUUGAGGAUGAGAGAGGUGAGUGGAAUUCCCAGUGUAGAGGUGAAAUUCGUAGAUAUUGGGAAGAACACCGGUGGCGAAGGCGGCUCACUGGCUCAUUUCUGACGCUCAGGCGCGCCAGCGUGGGGAUCAAACAGG
rnacentral:rRNA from 1 species